rnacentral:rRNA from 1 species
UACGGAGGAUCCGAGCGUUAUCCGGAUUUAUUGGGUUUAGAGGGAGCGUAGGUGGAUUGUUAAGUCAGUUGUGAAAGUUUGCGGCUCAACCGUAAAAUUGCAGUUGAAACUGGCAGUCUUGAGUACAGUAGAGGUGGGCGGAAUUCGUGGUGUAGCGGUGAAAUGCUUAGAUAUCACGAAGAACUCCGAUUGCGAAGGCAGCUCACUGGACUGCAACUGACACUGAGGCUCGAAAGUGUGGGUAUCAAACAGG